rnacentral:rRNA from 1 species
GACGAACGCUGGCGGCGUGCCUAAUACAUGCAAGUAGAACGCUGAAGGGGGAGCUUGCUUCUCCGGAUGAGUUGCGAACGGGUGAGUAACGCGUAGGUAACCUGCCUGGUAGCGGGGGAUAACUAUUGGAAACGAUAGCUAAUACCGCAUAAUAGUAGAUGUUGCAUGACAUUUGCUUAAAAGGUGCAAUUGCACCACUACCAGAUGGACCUGCGUUGUAUUAGCUAGUUGGUGGGGUAACGGCUCACCAAGGCGACGAUACAUAGCCGACCUGAGAGGGGGGUCGGCCACACUGGGACUGAGACACGGCCCAGACUCCUACGGGAGGCAGCAGUAGGGAAUCUUCGGCAAUGGACGGAAGUCUGACCGAGCAACGCCGCGUGAGUGAAGAAGGGUUUCGGAUCGUAAAGCUCUGUUGUAAGAGAAGAACGAGUGUGAGAGUGGAAAGUUCACACUGUGACGGUAGCUGACCAGAAAGAGACGGCUAACUACGUG